UACGAAGGGGGCUAGCGUUGUUCGGAUUUACUGGGCGUAAAGCGCACGUAGGCGGGUUGUUAAGUCAGGGGUGAAAUCCUGGAGCUCAACUCCAGAACUGCCUUUGAUACUGGCAACCUAGAGGCUGGAAGAGGUUAGUGGAAUUCCCAGUGUAGAGGUGAAAUUCGUAGAUAUUGGGAAGAACACCAGUGGCGAAGGCGGCUCACUGGCCCGAUACUGACGCUGAGGCACGAAAGCGUGGGGGAGCAA
rnacentral:rRNA from 1 species